UACGUAGGGUGCGAGCGUUAAUCGGAAUUACUGGGCGUAAAGCGCGCGCAGGCGGCGAUCUACGUCUGGGGUGAAAGCCCGGAGCUCAACUCCGGGACUGCCUUGGAUACGGGAUCGCUUGAGGAUUGGAGAGGCAAGGGGAAUUCCACGUGUAGCGGUGAAAUGCGUAGAGAUCCGGAAGAACACCGGUGGCGAAGGCGGCCUGCUGGGCAGUUGCUGACACUGAGGCGCGACAGCGUGGGGAGCAAACAGG
rnacentral:rRNA from 1 species